rnacentral:tRNA from 1 species
GCAGUGGUAGCUCAGUGGUAGAGUUCUUGCCUUCCAUGCAGGAGACACAGGGCAAUUCCUGGCUAAUGUA